rnacentral:rRNA from 1 species
AUGCAAGUCGAGGGGCAGCAUGGUCUUAGCUUGCUAAGGCUGAUGGCGACCGGCGCACGGGUGAGUAACACGUAUCCAACCUGCCGUCUACUCUUGGCCAGCCUUCUGAAAGGAAGAUUAAUCCAGGAUGGGAUCAUGAGUUCACAUGUCCGCAUGAUUAAAGGUAUUUUCCGGUAGACGAUGGGGAUGCGUUCCAUUAGAUAGUAGGCGGGGUAACGGCCCACCUAGUCAACGAUGGAUAGGGGUUCUGAGAGGAAGGUCCCCCACAUUGGAACUGAGACACGGUCCAAACUCCUACGGGAGGCAGCAGUGAGGAAUAUUGGUCAAUGGGCGAUGGCCUGAACCAGCCAAGUAGCGUGAAGGAUGACUGCCCUAUGGGUUGUAAACUUCUUUUAUAAAGGAAUAAAGUCGGGUAUGCAUACCCGUUUGCAUGUACUUUAUGAAUAAGGAUCGGCUAACUCCGUGCCAGCAGCCGCGGUAAUACGGAGGAUCCGAGCGUUAUCCGGAUUUAUUGGGUUUAAAGGGAGCGUAGAUGGAUGUUUAAGUCAGUUGUGAAAGUUUGCGGCUCAACCGUAAAAUUGCAGUUGAUACUGGAUGUCUUGAGUGCAGUUGAGGCAGGCGGAAUUCGUGGUGUAGCGGUGAAAUGCUUAGACAUCACGAAGAACUCCGAUUGCGAAGGCAGCCUGC